AUUAACCGGAUUAGAUACCCUGGUAGUCCAUGCCCUAAACGAUGUCAACUAGCUGUUGGGGCCUUCGGGCCUUGGUAGCGCAGCUAACGCGUGAAGUUGACCGCCUGGGGAGUACGGUCACAAGAUUAAAACUCAAAGGAAUUGACGGGGACCCGCACAAGCGGUGGAUGAUGUGGAUUAAUUCGAUGCAACGCGAAAAACCUUACCUACCCUUGACAUGUCUGGAAUGCCGAAGAGAUUUGGCAGUGCUCGCAAGAGAACCGGAACACAGGUGCUGCAUGGCUGUCGUCAGCUCGUGUCGUGAGAUGUUGGGUUAAGUCCCGCAACGAGCGCAACCCUUGUCAUUAGUUGCUACGAAAGGGCACUCUAAUGAGACUGCCGGUGACAAACCGGAGGAAGGUGGGGAUGACGUCAAGUCCUCAUGGCCCUUAUGGGUAGGGCUUCACACGUCAUACAAUGGUCGGGACAGAGGGUCGCCAACCCGCGAGGGGGAGCCAAUCCCAGAAACCCGAUCGUAGUCCGGAUCGCAGUCUGCAACUCGACUGCGUGAAGUCGGAAUCGCUAGUAAUCGCGGAUCAGCAUGUCGCGGUGAAUACGUUCCCGGGUCUUGUACACACCGCCCGUCACACCAUGGGAGUGGGUUUUACCAGAAGUAGUUAGCCUAACCGCAAGGGGGGCGAUUACCACGGUAGGAUUCAUGACUGGGGUGAAGUCGUAACAAGGUAGCCAAU
rnacentral:rRNA from 1 species